AUUGCAGGCUGCAACUCGCCUGUAUGAAGUUGGAAUUGCUAGUAAUCGCGGAUCAGCAUGCCGCGGUGAAUACGUUCCCGGGCCUUGUACACACCGCCCGUCACACCAUGGGAGCCGGUAAUACCCGAAGUCAGUAUCCUAACCGCAAGGAGGGAGCUGCCGAAGGUAGGAUUGGCGAUUGGGGUGAAGUCGUAACAAGGUAAC
rnacentral:rRNA from 1 species